rnacentral:rRNA from 1 species
AUGAACAAAAUUCAACAAUUUCGCCCGAUAUGUUUACUUUGUUGCAUCUAUAAGCUGAUUACCAAAGUGCUUACUAUUAGAAUGGAACCUUUUGUUGAUAUCCUAUUCAGUCGACACCAGAAUGCUUUUAUCAAAAAGCACGAUAUCAUGGAUGGGAUUAUGUCCCUGCAUGAAAUCCUCAACCAUACUUAUGCUAGGAAAAAAUCUGGUAUUGUUCUCAAACUAGACUUUGAGAAGGCGUACGGACAAAGUAAACAGGGAAUUAUUGCUGGAUUGCCACAAAAUGAGAGAGUUUCAUCCGCAAUGGAUUGA